AUACAGCUCCAUAACACCAAAAAUAACAAUUAUUUAUAUAUAGAACAUAUUGGAAAGCUGAUCCUCCUGCUGUGGGCUGGAAAGGAUCCUCUGGUUUGAGGUGAAGUCAUCCAGCUCUGCUCUGACACUGCUGCAGCUCGCUGGAGACCCUGCUGUUUUGUUUCACUGUUUUCUUUCAUUCUUUUGUUUAGUUUAUCUUGUUUCAUUUUUGUAACUGCUUUGUUUAAUUUGUUUUGUUUCGUUUAGUUGCUUAGUUUUGGGUUUUCUUUGGUUUAAAUUUACUUUGGAACAUUCUAUUGUUUUGUGUGGCCUCCAGCCUUGCUGCAGGUAGCAGCCAUGAAUUAUUUUAGACUAUUCUAUUAAAGCAUUGAUGAUUUUAA